GAGUCAAGCGAUAAGGACACUUGGCUUUCACCCCAGAGUUAGUCCCAGGUUCGAUCCCUGGUCA